rnacentral:rRNA from 1 species
GUGCAGCAGUCGCGAAACCUCCGCAAUACACGAAAGUGUGACGGGGCCAUCCCGAGUGCCGUCCGCUGAGGACGGCUUUUCCCCAGUGUACAUAGCUGGGGGAAUAAGGAGAGGGCAAGCCUGGUGUCAGCCGCCGCGGUAAUACCAGCUCUCCGAGUGGUGGGGACGCUUAUUGGGCCUAAAGCAUCCGUAGCCGGCUAGGCAAGUCCUCCGUUAAAUCCAACGAUUCAAUCGUUGGGCUGCGGGGGAUACUGUCCAGCUUGGGGGGCGGGAGAGGCCGACGGUAUUCCCGGGGUAGGGGUGAAAUCCUAUAAUCCCGGGAGGACCACCAGUGGCGAAGGCUGUCGGCUAGAACGCGCCCGACGGUGAGGGAUGAAAGCUGGGGGAGCGAACCGGAUUAGAUA